rnacentral:piRNA from 1 species
UGAUGGCGCUAAGGGGAUGUGGUGAA